rnacentral:rRNA from 1 species
AUUGAACGCUGGCGGCAUGCUUUACACAUGCAAGUCGAACGGCAGCGCGGGCUUCUGCCUGGCGGCGAGUGGCGAACGGGUGAGUAAUGCAUCGGAACGUGCCCAGUAGUGGGGGAUAGCCCGGCGAAAGCCGGAUUAAUACCGCAUACGACCUGAGGGUGAAAGCGGGGGACCGAAAGGCCUCGCGCUAUUUGAGCGGCCGAUGUCGGAUUAGCUAGUUGGUGGGGUAAAGGCUUACCAAGGCGACGAUCCGUAGCUGGUCUGAGAGGACGACCAGCCACACUGGGACUGAGACACGGCCCAGACUCCUACGGGAGGCAGCAGUGGGGAAUUUUGGACAAUGGGGGCAACCCUGAUCCAGCCAUGCCGCGUGCGGGAAGAAGGCCUUCGGGUUGUAAACCGCUUUUGUUCGGGAAGAAAUCCUCUGGGCUAAUACCCCGGGGGGAUGACGGUACCGGAAGAAUAAGCACCGGCUAACUACGUG